AACGAACGCUGGCGGCAGGCCUAACACAUGCAAGUCGAGCGAAGCCUUCGGGCUUAGCGGCGGACGGGUGAGUAACGCGUGGGAACGUGCCCUUUGGUACGGAAUAGCCCCGGGAAACUGGGAGUCAUACCGUAUGUGGUCGAGAGACGAAAGGUUUAUCGACAAAGGAUCGGCCCGCGGUGGAUUAGGUAGUUGGUGGGGUAAUGGCCUACCAAGCCGACGAUCCAUAGCUGGUUUGAGAGGAUGAUCAGCCACACUGGGACUGAGACACGGCCCAGACUCCGACGGGAGGCAGCAGUGGGGAAUCGUAGACAAUGGGGGAAACCCUGAUCUAGCCAUGCCGCGUGAUCGAUGAAGGCCUUAGGGUUGUAAAGAUCUUUCAGUGGGGAAGAUAAUGACUUUACCCACAGAAGAAGCCCCGGCUAACUCCGUGCCAGCCGCCGCCGUAACAC
rnacentral:rRNA from 1 species